rnacentral:rRNA from 1 species
AAUAGAUACCCGGGUAGUCCACGCCGUAAACCGGUGGGCGCUAGGUGUGGGUUUCCUUCCACGGGAUCCGUGCCGUAGCUAACGCAUUAAGCGCCCCGCCUGGGGAGUACGGCCGCAAGGCUAAAACUCAAAGGAAUUGACGGGGGGCCCGCACAAGCGGCGGAGCAUGUGGAUUAAUUCGAUGCAACGCGAAGAACCUUACCUGGGUUUGACAUAUACCGGAUCGCCUCAGAGAUGGGGUUUCCCUUGUGGUCGGUAUACAGGUGGUGCAUGGCUGUCGUCAGCUCGUGUCGUGAGAUGUUGGGUUAAGUCCCGCAACGAGCGCAACCCUUGUCCUGUGUUGCCAGCACGUAAUGGUGGGGACUCGCAGGAGACUGCCGGGGUCAACUCGGAGGAAGGUGGGGACGACGUCAAGUCAUCAUGCCCCUUAUGUCCAGGGCUUCACACAUGCUACAAUGGCCGGUACAGAGGGCUGCGAUACCGUGAGGUGGAGCGAAUCCCUUAAAGCCGGUCUCAGUUCGGAUCGGGGUCUGCAACUCGA